rnacentral:rRNA from 1 species
AGUGAACGCUGGCGGCGUGCUUAACACAUGCAAGUCGAACGAGGACGGAUUAUAGCUUGCUAUAAUUGUCAGCUAAGUGGCGCACGGGUGAGUAAUGUAUAGGUAAUAUGCCUCUUACUAAGGGAUAACAAAUGGAAACGUUUGCUAAUACCUUAUACUCCUUAUUAACAGAAGUUAAUAAGGGAAAGAUUUAUUGGUAAGAGAUUAGCCUGUAUUGUAUCAGUUAGUUGGUGGGGUAAUGGCUUACCAAGACUAUGACACAUAACUGGUUUGAGAGGAUGAUCAGUCACACUGGAACUGAGACACGGUCCAGACUCCUACGGGAGGCAGCAGUGGGGAAUAUUGCACAAUGGACGAAAGUCUGAUGCAGCAACGCCGCGUGGAGGAUGACGCAUUUCGGUGCGUAAACUCCUUUUAUAUGAGAAGAUAAUGACGGUAUUAUAUGAAUAAGCACCGGCUAACUCCGUGCCAGCAGCCGCCGUAAAAC